CAGGGAGACAACAAAAUGUUUAAUAUUAUUAUUUUGUCACCUUAGGUCGAUCGGUAUCUCACGUUCUUAAUUUGUUAAGGAUUUCAUUUCCUAAGUUUUUCUAGGUCACACCCAUUAUUUUUCCUGGGCCAUUAGCUCAGGUGGUUAGAGCGCACCCCUGAUAAGGGUGAGGUCCCUGGUUCAAGUCCAGGAUGGCCCAUAUCUCUAUGUUGGGGGUAUAGCUCAGUUGGUAGAGCGCCUGCUUUGCAAGCAGGAUGUCAGCGGUUCGAGUCCGCUUACCUCCACUGAUUACCACCUCUUACAUAAAUGGUAAAAAGGAAAUGUUUUGAGUUGUGAUCAUUAUUCUGAACGAAUCUAGCUUCCUAAUGAAAUCAUUAAGAUGCUGGACUCAUUGAAUUAAUUUCAUUGUUUUCAGAGAACCUUGACAACUGCAUAGAUUAUUUUUAAAGACAAUAAGCAUCUUUAAUGAUGCAGAUUUAUUAUUUGUGCGAAUGCAUUAAUAACAAUUCUAUUAAGCUGAUGCUUCAAUUUUUUGAAGUUAUU
rnacentral:tRNA from 1 species